CAGGUAGUUGGUGAGGUAACGGCUCACCAAGCCGAUGACCGAUAGCUGUUCUGAGAGGAAGAUCAGCCACACUGGGACUGUGACACGGCCCAGACUCCUACGGGAGGCAGCAGCGAGGAAUAUUGCACAAUGGACGCAAGUCUGAUGCAGUAACGCCGCGUGGGGGAAGAAGACCUUCGGGUUGUAAACCUCUUUUUGUAAAGACGAGUGAGGACGGUAUUUGCAGAAUAAGUCUCGGCUAACUACGUGCCAGCAGCCGCGGUAAGACGUAGGAGGCGAGCGUUAUCCGGAUUCACUGGGCGUAAAGCGCAAGUAGGCGGUUGCACAAGUCAUGUGUUAAAGCCCCUGGCUCAACUGGGGGAGGUCAUGUGAGACUGUGCGACUUGAGGGCAACAGAGGCAUGUGGAACUCCCGGUGUAGCGGUGGAAUGCGUAGAGAUCGGGAAGAACAC
rnacentral:rRNA from 1 species